rnacentral:rRNA from 1 species
AUUGAACGCUGGCGGCAUGCCUUACACAUGCAAGUCGAACGGUAACAGGUCUUCGGAUGCUGACGAGUGGCGAACGGGUGAGUAAUACAUCGGAACGUGCCUAGUAGUGGGGGAUAACUACUCGAAAGAGUGGCUAAUACCGCAUGAGAUCUACGGAUGAAAGAAGGGGAUCGCAAGACCUUGUGCUACUAGAGCGGCCGAUGGCAGAUUAGGUAGUUGGUGGGAUAAAAGCUUACCAAGCCGACGAUCUGUAGCUGGUCUGAGAGGACGAUGCGCCACACUGUGACUGAGAAAAGGCCCAGACUCCUCCGGGAGGAAGCAGUGGGGAAUUUUGGACAAUGGGCGAAAGCCUGAUCCAGCAAUGCCGCGUCCAGGAUGAAGGCCUUCGGGUUGUAAACUGCUUUUGUACGGAACGAAAAGCCACGGGUUAAUACCCUGGGGUGAUGACGGUACCGUAAGAAUAAGCACCGGCUAACUACGUGCCAGCCGCCGCCGUAA